rnacentral:miRNA from 1 species
GGAUGUUUUUUUUCCUUUUC